AUUGAACGCUGGCGGCAGGCCUAACACAUGCAAGUCGAGCGCGCGGCGGACGGGUGAGUAAUGUGUGGGAAACUGCCCGCUAGAGGGGGAUAACUACUCGAAACGGUAGCUCAUACCGCAUACCCUCAGAUGUGCCCCGAUGGGAUUGGCUAGUCGGUGGGGUAACGGCUCACCUAGGCGACGAUCCCUAGCUGGUCUGAGAGGAUGACCAGCCACACUGGAACUGAGACACGGUCCAGACUCCUACGGGAGGCAGCAGUGGGGAAUAUUGGACAAUGGGCGAAAGCCUGAUGCAGCCAUGCCGCGUGUGUGAAGAAGGUCUUCGGAUUGUAAAGCACUUUAAGUUGGGAGGCGUUACCAACAGAAGAAGCACCGGCUAACUUCGUGCCAGCAGCCGCGGUAAUAC
rnacentral:rRNA from 1 species